rnacentral:rRNA from 1 species
GCACUUUCCAGUAAGUGGCGAACGGGAGAGUGCACGUGAAUAACCUACCUCAAAGUCUGGGAUAACCAUUGGAAACAGUGACUAAUACCGGAUAAAACCCAAGUGCACAUGCACUAAGGUUAAAAGCUGCGUUUGCAGCGCUUUAAGAUGGAUUCGCGGUGCAUUAGUUAGUUGGUGAGGUAAAGGCUCACCAAGACGAUGAUGCAUAGCCGAGUUGAGAGACUGACCGGCCACAUUGGGACUGAGACACGGCCCAAACUCCUACGGGAGGCUGCAGUAGGGAAUCUUCCACAAUGGGCGCAAGCCUGAUGGAGCAACGCCGCGUGUGUGAUGAAGGCUUUCGGGUCGUAAAGCACUGUUGUAUGGGAAGAACGGGUUUAAGAGGAAAUGCUUAGACAGUGACGGUACCAUACCAGAAAGGGACGGCUAAAUACGUGCCAGCAGCCGCGGUAAUACGUAUGUCCCGAGCGUUAUCCGGAUUUAUUGGGCGUAAAGCGAGCGCAGACGGUUGCUUAAGUCUGAAGUGAAAGCCCACAGCUCAACUGUGGAAUGGCUUUGGAAACUGGGCAACUUGAGUACAGUAGAGGUAAGUGGAACUCCAUGUGUAGCGGUGGAAUGCGUAGAUAUAUGGAAGAACACCAGUGGCGAAGGCGGCUUACUGGACUGCAACUGACGUUGAGGCUCGAAAGUGUGGGUAGCAAACAGGAUUAGAUACCCUGGUAGUCCACACCGUAAACGAUGGAUACUAGU